rnacentral:rRNA from 1 species
GACGAACGCUGGCGGCGUGCUUAACACAUGCAAGUCGAGCGGUAAGGCCCUUUCGGGGGUACACGAGCGGCGAACGGGUGAGUAACACGUGGGUGACCUGCCCUUAGCUCUGGGAUAAGCCUAGGAAACUGGGUCUAAUACCGGAUAUGACUCCAUGACGCAUGUUGUGGGGUGGAAAGCCUUGUGCGGCUAGGGAUGGGCCCGCGGCCUAUCAGCUUGUUGGUGGGGUGAUGGCCUACCAAGGCGACGACGGGUAGCCGGCCUGAGAGGGCGACCGGCCACACUGGGACUGAGACACGGCCCAGACUCCUACGGGAGGCAGCAGUGGGGAAUCUUGCGCAAUGGGCGAAAGCCUGACGCAGCGACGCCGCGUGAGGGAUGACGGCCUCGGUUGUAAC